UGUCUUCUUCUCAAAUCGGCCACAGCCAUUGCUCUCUCUCUCUCUUUGCUCGUAAAGCUCAAGCCUUUUGUUGUGAUUUCUGGAGGUUUCUGCAGUGGGUUUUUGGGAUUUUGUAGAUUGAGGUUGAUUUGUGAUUUUCCUGUGUCAGAAGUAAGAGAGUGGUUUAUAGUCAUGGAUUCGGAUCAAGGAAAGCUUUUUGUCGGUGGUAUCUCAUGGGAAACUGAUGAAGACAAGCUAAGAGAACAUUUCAGCAAGUAUGGAGAGGUUUCUCAGACCAUUGUGAUGAGAGACAAGCUCACGGGUCGACCUAGGGGUUUUGGGUUUGUUAUCUUCUCGGAUCCUUCUGUUCUCGAUAGGGUUCUUGACGACAAACACAACAUUGAUACUAGAGAGGUUGACGUGAAGAAAGCCAUGUCAAGAGAGGAGCAACAAGUGUCCGGAAGAUCUGGGAACCUUAAUCCAUCUAGAAGUUCUGGGGGUGAUGCUUACAAUAAAACCAAAAAGAUCUUUGUUGGAGGCUUGCCACCUACUUUGACUGAUGAAGAGUUUCGUCAGUACUUUGAAGUUUAUGGCCCUGUGACUGAUGUUGCAAUCAUGUACGACCAGGCUACUAACCGUCCUCGUGGGUUUGGAUUUAUUUCCUUUGACUCUGAAGAUGCUGUAGACCGUGUGUUGCACAAGACUUUCCAUGAUUUGAGCGGUAAGCAAGUUGAAGUAAAGCGUGCUCUUCCUAAAGAUGCCAAUCCUGGAGGUGCUGGACGAUCAAUGGGUGGUGGUGGCUCUGGCGGUUACCAGGGUUAUGGUGGCAAUGAGAGCAAUUAUGAUGGACGUAUGGAUUCUAAUAGGUUUCUGCAGCAUCAAAAUGUUGGAAAUGGUUUACCAUCUUAUGGGUCUUCUGGUUACGGUGCUGGGUAUGGAAAUGGUAGUAAUGGUACCGGGUAUGGUAGCUAUGGAGGUUACACUGGUUCUGCUGGAGGUUAUGGCGCUGGUGCUGCUGCUGCAUAUGGAGCAACGAGCAUCCCAGGUGCCGGUUAUGGAAGUAGUACUGGAGUUGCCCCGAGAAACUCAUGGGACACUCCAGCUCCGAGUGGUUAUGGGAACCCAGGUUAUGGGAGUGGUGCUGCUCAUACUGGAUAUGGAGUUCCUGGUGCAGCUCCUCCUGCGCAAUCACCAUCUGGCUAUGGUAAUCAAAGCUACGGAUAUGGAGGGUACAGUGGAAAUGAUUCUGGUUAUGGAAAUCAAGCCUCAUAUGGUGCAGUUGGUGGGCGUCCUAGUGGCGGUGGUUCAAACAACCCUGGUAGUGGUGGCUACAUGGGAGGCGGUUAUGGUGAUGGAUCUUGGCGAUCUGACCCGUCACAAGGUUAUGGGGGUGGGUACAAUGAUGGCCAGAGUCGACAAGGCCAGUAGUAACUAGGGGAUUUUCACCAACCUGGUUUUUGGAUCCUUAGAUCAAAUCAAAGACUCCUCAACUUCAUAACGGGGAAUAAUGCUUUGUGGUACUUGAUUAAGAAAGCAGAUGGUGAGCAAAAGUCGAUGGAGGACUUAUCAAGGGGUGCUUGAGUUCUUAGGUGGAGCAACGACUCAUCGAGGUUGAAUCUGAGGUCCUCCUACUUGGAGUUGAGGUAAAUUGCUUGAAGAGUGAAGACUCCAGUUUUUAUCAGUAUGUGGGCUACUUAGGUUCAUUUUUGAGUGAUGAGAUUCCCGGGAAUGAAACAAACAUAGAUAGGCACAUACGCUGGAAAUACAAAGGCAGCCACAUUGUUAACAUAUCUUUUGAUAGUAGAUAUCAAAUUAUCGUAAUUAUAGAAACUAGUGGAAACACAAAAGUGCAAAGCUUAUCAUGACUGGAAUACUAAAAGUUACAAAAAUACGUGAAA